GUGCUAGAAAUGAAAAUUCAUGUGUGGUUUCGGCCCAUAAUAAAUUAACUGAAAUGUUAUUCUAGUAUU
rnacentral:tRNA from 1 species